rnacentral:rRNA from 1 species
GACGAACGCUGGCGGCGUGCCUAAUACAUGCAAGUUGAGCGCUGAAGGUUGGUACUUGUACCAACUGGAUGAGCAGCGAACGGGUGAGUAACGCGUGGGGAAUCUGCCUUUGAGCGGGGGACAACAUUUGGAAACGAAUGCUAAUACCGCAUAAAAACUUUAAACACAAGUUUUAAGUUUGAAAGAUGCAAUUGCAUCACUCAAAGAUGAUCCCGCGUUGUAUUAGCUAGUUGGUGAGGUAAAGACUCACCAAGGCGAUGAUACAUAGCCGACCUGAGAGGGUGGUCGGCCAAAUUGGGACUGAGACACGGCCCCAACUCCUACGGGAGGCAGCAGUAGGGGAUCUUCGGCCAUGGACGAAAGUCUGACCGAGCAACGCCGCGGGAGUGAAGAAGGUUUUCGGAUCGUAAAACUCUGUUGGUAGAGAAGAACGUUGGUGAGAGUGGAAAGCUCAUCAAGUGACGGUAACUACCCAGAAAGGGACGGCUAACUACGUG